rnacentral:rRNA from 1 species
AGAGCUCCUAUCGACCCCGCGGUUUGGUACCUCGAUGUCGGCUUUUCCUAUCCUGGUCCUGCAGCAGGGGCCAAGGGUGAGGCUGCUCGCCUAUUAAAAGGGAACAUGAGCUGGGUUUAGACCGUCGUGAGACAGGUCGGUCUCUGCCUAAUGGAAGCGCGAAUAACUGAGGGGAAGUUGCUCAUAGUACGAGAGGAACAGAGCAACGUCGCCACUGGUUUACCGGUUGUCUGAUAAGGCAGGCCGGGCAGCUAAGCGAUUUGGGCUAAGUGCUGAAAGCAUCUAAGCACGAAUCCCAUCCCGAGACAAGUUAUUCUUUCGUAAGAUGAAGGUCGGCAGCAAAAUACUGCGUUGAUAGGAAGGUGGUGUAGAUCACAAGCUUCGGCGAGUGGUGAGCCAGCCUUUACUAAUAGACC